UACGAAGGGGGCUAGCGUUGCUCGGAAUCACUGGGCGUAAAGCGCACGUAGGCGGAUUGCUAAGUCAGGGGUGAAAUCCUGGAGCUCAACUCCAGAACUGCCUUUGAUACUGGUGAUCUUGAGUCCGGGAGAGGUGAGUGGAACUGCGAGUGUAGAGGUGAAAUUCGUAGAUAUUCGCAAGAACACCAGUGGCGAAGGCGGCUCACUGGCCCGGUACUGACGCUGAGGUGCGGAAAGCGUGGGGAGCAAACAGG
rnacentral:rRNA from 1 species